rnacentral:ncRNA from 3 species
UCUGAUCGUUCACCUCCAUACA